rnacentral:rRNA from 1 species
UGGGGAAUAUUGCACAAUGGGCGCAAGCCUGAUGCAGCGACGCCGCGUGAGGGAUGACGGCCUUCGGGUUGUAAACCUCUGUUAGCAGGGAAGAAGAGAGAUUGACGGUACCUGCAGAGAAAGCGCCGGCUAACUACGUGCCAGCAGCCGCGGUAAUACGUAGGGCGCGAGCGUUGUCCGGAAUUAUUGGGCGUAAAGAGCUUGUAGGCGGUUUGUCGCGUCUGCUGUGAAAGGCCGGGGCUUAACUCCGUGUAUUGCAGUGGGUACGGGCAGACUAGAGUGCAGUAGGGGAGACUGGAAUUCCUGGUGUAGCGGUGGAAUGCGCAGAUAUCAGGAGGAACACCGAUGGCGAAGGCAGGUCUCUGGGCUGUAACUGACGCUGAGAAGCGAAAGCAUGGGGAGCGAACAGGAUUAGAUACCCUGGUAGUCCAUGCCGUAAACGUUGGGCACUAGGUGUGGGGGACAUUCCACGUUUUCCGCGCCGUAGCUAACGCAUUAAGUGCCCCGCCUGGGGAGUACGGCCGCAAGGCUA